CCUACGGGAGGCAGCAGUGAGGAAUAUUGGUCAAUGGGCGCAAGCCUGAACCAGCCAAGUCGCGUGAGGGAUGACGGUCCUAUGGAUUGUAAACCUCUUUUGUCGGGGAGCAAGGCCCGCCACGUGUGGCGGGAAGGAGAGUACCCGAAGAAAAAGCAUCGGCUAACUCCGUGCCAGCAGCCGCGGUAAUACGGAGGAUGCGAGCGUGAUCCGGAUUUAUUGGGUUUAAAGGGUGCGUAGGCGGAAGGUUAAGUCAGCGGUAAAAUGUCGGUGCUCAACACCGGCCUGCCGUUGAAACUGGUCUUCUUGAGUGAGCGAGAAGUAUGCGGAAUGCGUGGUGUAGCGGUGAAAUGCAUAGAUAUCACGCAGAACUCCGAUUGCGAAGGCAGCAUACCGGCGCUCAACUGACGCUGAGGCACGAAAGCGUGGGGAUCGAACAGGAUUAGAUACCCCAGUAGUC
rnacentral:rRNA from 1 species